UACAGAGGUCUCAAGCGUUGUUCGGAUUCAUUGGGCGUAAAGGGUGCGUAGGUGGCGCGCUAAGUCGGGUGUGAAAUCUCGGGGCUUAACUCCGAAACUGCAUUCGAUACUGCCGUGCUUGAGGACUGGAGAGGAGACUGGAAUUUACGGUGUAGCGGUGAAAUGCGUAGAUAUCGUAAGGAAGACCAGUGGCGAAGGCGGGUCUCUGGACAGUUCCUGACGCUGAGGCACGAAGGCCAGGGGAGCAAACGGG
rnacentral:rRNA from 1 species